rnacentral:tRNA from 1 species
GGCAAAAUCAGCUAAGCAAGCUAGAGGACUCAUUAUCCUAAAAUGGCGGACUAAAUUACCCCUUUUGUUA